rnacentral:rRNA from 1 species
AGCGUUGUCCGGAUUAUUGGGCGUAAAGCGCGCGCAGGCGGAUCAGUCAGUCUGUCUUAAAAGUUCGGGGCUUAACCCCGUGAUGGGAUGGAAACUGCUGAUCUAGAGUAUCGGAGAGGAAAGUGGAAUUCCUAGUGUAGCGGUGAAAUGCGUAGAUAUUAGGAAGAACACCAGUGGCGAAGGCGACUUUCUGGACGAAAACUGACGCUGAGGCGCGAAAGCCAGGGGAGCGAACGGGAUUAGAUACCCCGGUAGUCCUGGCCGUAAACGAUGGGUACUAGGUGUAGGAGGUAUCGACCCCUUCUGUGCCGGAGUUAACGCAAUAAGUACCCCGCCUGGGGAGUACGACCGCAAGGUUGAAACUCAAAGGAAUUGACGGGGGCCCGCACAAGCGGUGGAGUAUGUGGUUUAAUUCGACGCAACGCGAAGAACCUUACCAGGUCUUGACAUUGAUGGACAGAACCAGAGAUGGUUCCUCUUCUUCGGAAGCCAGAAAACAGGUGGUGCACGGUUGUCGUCAGCUCGUGUCGU